ACAUGCAAGUCGAGCGAACGGACGAGAAGCUUGCUUCUCUGAUGUUAGCGGCGGACGGGUGAGUAACACGUGGAUAACCUACCUAUAAGACUGGGAUAACUUCGGGAAACCGGAGCUAAUACCGGAUAAUAUUUUGAACCGCAUGGUUCAAAAGUGAAAGACGGUCUUGCUGUCACUUAUAGAUGGAUCCGCGCUGCAUUAGCUAGUUGGUAAGGUAACGGCUUACCAAGGCAACGAUGCAUAGCCGACCUGAGAGGGUGAUCGGCCACACUGGAACUGAGACACGGUCCAGACUCCUACGGGAGGCAGCAGUAGGGAAUCUUCCGCAAUGGGCGAAAGCCUGACGGAGCAACGCCGCGUGAGUGAUGAAGGUCUUCGGAUCGUAAAACUCUGUUAUUAGGGAAGAACAUAUGUGUAAGUAACUGUGCACAUCUUGACGGUACCUAAUCAGAAAGCCACGGCUAACUACGUGCCAGCAGCCGCGGUAAUACGUAGGUGGCAAGCGUUAUCCGGAAUUAUU
rnacentral:rRNA from 1 species